rnacentral:rRNA from 1 species
UACGAAGGGGGCGAGCGUUAUCCAGAAUGAUUGGGCGUAAAGUGUCCGUAGACAGUUAUAAGAUUGUUUUAAGUUAAAUUUUUUUUAUAGUAAAAACAAAACUGCUUUUAAUACUUUUUAACUAGAGUAUAGUAGAGGAUAAUAGAAUUUCAUACAUAAGAGUAAAAUCUAAUAAUUUAUGAAAGAAUGUCUGAGGCGAAAGCGAUUAUCUGGACUAUUACUGACGUUGAGGGUCGAAAGCGUAGGGAGCAAACAGGAUUAGAGACCCUGGUAGUCUACGCUGUCAAAGAUGAAUGCUAACUUUGGGAAAUUUUCUGAUGUAAAGUAAACACAUUAAGCAUUCCGCCUGGGGAGUACGAUCGCAAGAUUGGAACUCAAAAGAAUUGACGGGGGUCUAUCCUAGUGGUGGAGCAUGUGGUUUAAUGCGAUAGUACCCGCAAAACCUUACCAGAUUUUGCAUAUAAAUUAUUAGAAAUGUUAUAUUUUCUAUUAUUAAUAAUAUUUGAUUUAUUAUUUAUAAUAAAUUUUUACAGGUGUUGCAUGGCUGUCGUCAGUUCGUGCCGUGAGGUGUUUGGUUAAUUCUUUUAACGAGCGUAACUCUUUGUUUAUUUUGGUAAUUUUUAAUAAAACUAUUAAAAAACAACUAUUAAUCGACAGUCGAUGAUAAAUCGAAGGAAGGUGAGAAUGAAGUCAAGUCCUUAUGGCCUUUAUAAUCUGGGCUACACACGUGCUACAAUGAUAAAUACAAAAAGUUAUACAAAAAAGCAAUUUUGAGUAAAUCUUUAAAAAAUAUCGUGUUCGGAUUGUUAACUGAAACUCGUUAACAUGAAGUUGGAAUCACAAGUAAUCGUAGAUCAGCAAGCUAUGGUGAAUAUGUACUUAGACCU